rnacentral:lncRNA from 12 species
UUGGGUCAUAAGAUAUCCUGGAGCAUAUUAAUAUACUUUUGUAGCAAGAGAGGGGGUUCAUUUUUCUUUUUAAAAUUUAAUUUAGAUAGAAUUUUCCUAAAAUUGCCAAAGAUAAACUGAAGUUUAUUUCUGCACGAAGGAACCUGGGUGGAGCAUCCAUUAGCGCUUUCUCGGCAUCUACUGAACACUUCCCCAAAAGCUCCAGAUUUUUGAGCGAUGACGGUGUGCUUCCAGCGAAGCCAAGUCUUCUCAGCUCCAUGUCAAGAGUGAGGGUCCUGAGUGAAGCCAACCAGCACUUCUUUUCCUAUUCCUAGUGAUUGGUUCAGUGGAGGCAUCUGACCUAAGCUGCUUCGAUCAGACUGAAACCUAAAGAUUUUCUGUGGAUUGUAGACAAAUUCAGUCUUUCUUCUAUCCUGAAUAUACUGAAGAAAAGUGGAAGCCCUAGAAGCCUGGGAUCACCAGUGAGCUCUUCUGGGUAUCUGCCUCCAGAGAAGUCUGUCAUCCGUGCUCCCUACCACCUUUGGAACACCCACCGCGUCCCUUCGUCAGCUCUACCAAGCGCACGGCCAGUGAGGCAGAAGCCGCUGGGCAGUAGCCAGAGCUGGAAUUUUCCCUGGCCUUCAUCGUGCUGAAAUCCACCACCGGGGACACCUGGUGUUAUUCGGAUUUGCUUUUCACAUCACCCGUUUGUGCUCUUGGUUUACUUGGGAAACCUAAACUACAGCAAUAUGUAUUCCCACUACAUUUUCAUCAUCAUCCUCUGUGUCACCUCCAAAAUGUGUGCUUCUCCACCGUCAACUGCUUCCAGAAUCUAGAUUCUAUACUUAUUCAAAAUACAUGAUGACUAUCUCCUAUAUCUCAGGGUAAAAUUACCUUCAAUCCUUUUUUGGGAGAUUAGAAUGCAUCCUUAAACAAAUAUGCACACCCACGGUAGUGAGUGCAUGUAUGUGUGAGCAUGUGUGAGAUGUGGUGACUAGGAAAGGAAGCAAUGGGGGGUAAUUCCUAAGUUUAAAAUAAUUAGUGUGCAUGUAAAUAUAGAGACUAGCCCAAAUUAUCAUCGUAUCUAUAAAAAAGUUAUGAGUGAGGCAGUGAGGCUCUGAUGUCAGGGCUUUACGGACCAUGUUGACCCUGAGAACAGUGGGGAUCUCUUUCAGAUCCUGAGAACUGAGUUUGUUUUUAACUAUAAGGAGUAGCUACCUGUGCAGUAGAAUUUGGGGAAUUCCACAUGAUGACCUACCUCAUGGUGGCACUGUGAGACAUGGCCAUCACGGAGAAAAUAAAAUGUAUUCACCCCCAAUUUAUAAAGCGUGA